ACUUAUCCUGAUCUCCCAUGGGGUACAGGGCCCAAGUACUUGGGCCAUCCUCCACUGCACUCCCUGGCCACAGCAGAGAGCUGGCCUGGAAGAGGGGCAACCGGGACAGAAUCCGGCGCCCCAACUGGGACUAGAACCCGGUGUGCCAGCGCCGCAAGGCGGAGGAUUAGCCUAGUGAGCCGCGGCACCGGCCAACCUCAAAUCUUACAUCUACUUUUUGGGCUAUCUUCAGUAUCCCCCUGAAUUUCCAUCUACUUUGUACUGUUGUAUGAGGAGGCACCAGGUUAGGCAUCCAGUUACUAUGUUGAACAUCUGUAGAUAGCAUAAGCCUUUCAGUUUAAAGUUAUCUAAGCAAAUCUGUCUCUAGUCUUUCCCACUCUGACAGAACUGCUCAUGAUUCAACUUUUAUUUUUAAGAAAUUAAACAAAGGUUGGAUAAUUAUCUAGUGGAUAACUCUAAGUAUGAUGAGUUAUAUUUAUCUUUAUUCCUCAAAUUCCCCAUAUUUCUACUAGGAGACAUUGGAAUAGUGUGUGUGUGUGUGUGUGUGUGUGUGUGUGUAUUUGGAGGCUGGGCCUCAUAACUAUGACGAUCUUUCCUACAUCUAAUAUUUUAGAUUAUACUACUGAAAGGUAGAAUAACAUUUAGUAACCAAAUUUAAAGGAAUUAAGCACUUAAGGUAUUGCAAGAACCUGAUAUAUGUAUAUAUUUUCUGUUAACAUCUUAAAAUAAGUUUUGGAAGUAUAGUUUUAUCCAAACAAACUUGAUUCACUGACACUUAGUAAAUUGAAAUACUUUUUCUGGCCCUUGUUUUACAAUUUAACAAUAAUGAGACUAGUAUGCAUAUCCCAUAGGCAGCACUGACAAAGACAGUUCUAUAGAAGGGAACAGAACAAAGUAUAAGUGAAGAAGUACUGAGGAUCAUACAAAGAUCCAGUUAUGGGACACAGCAGGACAAGAGCGAUUCAGAAAGAGCAUGGUGCAGCACUACUACAGGAAUGUCCACGCUGUUGUCUUCGUGUAUGACAUGACAAACAUGGCCAGUUUCCACAGCCUGCCAUCUUGGAUAGAGGAAUGCAAGCAGCAUUUGCUAGCCAAUGACAUACCACGGAUCCUCGUGGGAAACAAAUGUGACUUGAGAAGUGCCAUUCAGGUUCCCACAGACUUGGCACAAAAGUUUGCCGAUACACACAGUAUGCCUUUGCUUGAAACUUCUGCUAAAAACCCCAAUGACAAUGAUCAUGUGGAAGCUAUAUUUAUGACCUUGGCUCAUAAGCUUAAGAGCCAUAAACCAUUAAUGCUUAGUCAACCCCCUGAUAAUGGAAUUAUCCUGAAGCCUGAACCAAAGCCUGCAAUGACGUGCUGGUGCUAAAUAUCUCUUGAUUAUACUACCAAUUUUGACUUAAAGAAAUACUUUUGAAGUAUGACAGUGAUAAUCGUAAGAUUAACUCUCAAAUAUAAUGGCUCAUCCUGACACUUUAGUAUACAUCAUUGUCAUGCUUUUUAUUUUGUAUCUACUUAAGAAGUUUGUCACUGUGACAACACAAGGAAAAAGUUGGUUUCAGAUGUCAUUGAAAUGAUGAGUUGAAUCAGAAUAUUUUUUCUUUGGAAGUCCAGUGAAGGAAGCUUCAAAUGAGAGCAUGGUGGGAUUUUAAGAAUCAGUACCUGUUCAUUCUGUGUUCCUGGGACUGAAAAAAAAAAAGUAAGAAGUUAGUACACACCUACUGUUACCUUCCUUGGGAAGUGUUCUUUUAGGAUAGAAAUUCGUAUUUGCCUCUUCCCUGAGUUCCUUCUUUGUUUUAUCAAGGUAUUUCGGUAUGUUAUUAUGGAGUCAAGACUUUGGUCUAGUGGGGAGAAGAAGGCAUAGAAUAUUUUCUGUGUCUCAGUCCAUAAAGAAUGACUUUUCUACUGGUUCUAGAAGCUUGAUAGUUCUAAUUGAUCAGAUCAGAUCUAUAAAAAUCAUUAUUUUCAAAAGAAUAAAUUAUUAUCUUUACUAAGUUCUAGUAAAAUAUGCAAGUAUAAGUCAGAUUUUAAGCCAGAUGAAGUGGCAAGGAAAGAUGCUUUGUAUUUUGUUUUGGUGUCUUUAAGUGAGGAGAACAAAUUGGGAGCAUUUGGAGGAGUUGUGAUUUGGAGGAGAGGUCAACAUGAACCUGGCUCCUGGCUACCACAGGGGAGCUUAUUUUUAGGUUUUAGUAAUUUCAAGUCCUGUAUCUCAUUCUCUCCUCUUCCCCAAUCAAUUUAAUGAUUAGAUGCUAAAUUAACAAAUCAACUUCUAGUUGGAUUAUAGCUCUGAGGGUGUGCCUGAUUACUAUGAGUUGACAUGUGUUUCUGUAAUAGUAUUGUGUUAUAUUGAUUUUUUUUAAAGUGUUUAAAUUUUGUGGCCACAACGAGCUAUUCCUCCUUGGUAUGGGAAAUAAAUUAGAUAUUGAAAAA